rnacentral:lncRNA from 1 species
GAGAAAUUUGAUGUGGAAAUCAAUAAUGAGUUUUGCAAGUCAAGGAUUUGUCAGUUCAUCUGGACUACACAUAUCUUUUAAUAAAAGAACAGCUCAACCAAGUAUGGAUAACAUGGUCGCGUUAGGAAAUUUUUUUAAAAGAUGGAUUAGACUCGACUAAUUGCUCGGACUUAGGAAAGUAUAGAAAGGAGUUGCAUCAUAAUUUUUUAGCAAGCUCGUUCAUCAUGGGCCGAUGAAAUUCCUAGAACUUGUCAAUUCAAAGUGAUUAUAUUCAUGAUGGAGUAUGUUAUUUACUCUUGGAGAAUUGUUAAAGCCUGCCAACUUCUUUCAAGUAUCGUAAUAAAGAGCUGAGACCUUUAGUGUCUCUAUUUGGACGAGACUCAAAUUUUCUUUUAACCAAGUGAUUGGGAUUUAUGAUCCCUCGAUAAGGAGAGUCUUGGAGAGCAAAGCGCAUUUUUUUAUCUGACAUGCUAUGGAGGCCAAGGUGAGAGUACUCCUUUUGUGACAUGUGGGCAUGCAGUGAGCUCUUAUGUGAUUGAAAGUGAAGUCUAAAUGUAUUUUGUGGUCUGCAUACUGAAUAUAUGCAACAUAUGUUCUUGCUCUGCCCAUUUGCUUCAGGUUUGGACUUCGUUUCAACUAUGCACGAGGGAUCUAGUGACAGGUCAAGCACAGUUUAUGAUAUAUUCUAAAAGGCUGUUGAGCGAAAAUUCAGCCAGCAACUUAAAGUUGUUUGGAAAAUGGUGAUAAUUUUCAACCUAGCAAAGCUCAAUGCAUCAAUCCGGACACCUGGUAGCCCUUGCUAUUGGGCUAGAUCAGAUUGAACAUUGAUGAGGCCAUAUCUACGAUGCAGUGGGGCACUUUCUAAACUGAAGAGGAUUUAUUACGGGCUGCCUCGUAGCUCCCUUGUACCAUCAGGGGUCAUAUAUUGUAGAUUUGUAUGCUCUUAUGUUUGAUGUUUAGUAUGCUUGAGACAAGGGAUGGUUAAACCUAUGGUUGGAGAGUGACUCGAUCUAUGUGGUUAAGCUUCUUAACUCAAAGGAAACCUUGGUGCAAUGGGUCAUUUGUUCAAAAUGGUUGAGGUUCUUGCAUCGUGUGGAUCGUAUAAACUUUCGUGUCUCACACAUAUAUCAGGAAGGCAACAUGGUGGCUGAUGAUGCGUAGAAAUUGUGAUAGAAUAUCACUUUUCACUCAAAUAAACAAACUUUCAUAAAUCUCACAACAUAUAUUUCAUACAAUAGAGCUAUUUUCUUUCAACAACUCCCUUAUACAAACCUUAGAAUUUC